rnacentral:rRNA from 1 species
CCCUUUGGGUGUGACUGCGUACCUUUUGUAUAAUGGGUCAGCGACUUAUAUUCUGUAGCAAGGUUAACCGAAUAGGGGAGCCGGAGGGAAACCGAGUCUUAAUUGGGCGUUAAGUUGCAGGGUAUAGACCCGAAACCCGGUGAUCUAGCCAUGGGCAGGUUGAAGGUUGGGUAACACUAACUGGAGGACCGAACCGACUAAUGUUGAAAAAUUAGCGGAUGACCUGUGGCUGGGGGUGAAAGGCCAAUCAAACCGGGAGAUAGCUGGUUCUCCCCGAAAGCUAUUUAGGUAGCGCCUCGUGAAUUCAUCUCCGGGGGUAGAGCACUGUUUCGGCUAGGGGGCCAUCCCGGCUUACCAACCCGAUGCAAACUGCGAAUACCGGAGAAUGUUAUCACGGGAGACACACGGCGGGUGCUAACGUCCGUCGUGAAGAGGGAAACAACCCAGACCGCCAGCUAAGGUCCCAAAGUCAUGGUUAAGUGGGAAACGAUGUGGGAAGGCCCAGACAGCCAGGAUGUUGGCUUAGAAGCAGCCAUCAUUUAAAGAAAGCGUAAUAGCUCACUGGUCGAGUCGGCCUGCGCGGAAGAUGUAACGGGGCUAAACCAU